rnacentral:lncRNA from 1 species
GUGAAUCUGUUGGAGAGGGUCUUUUCUGGCCUGGUGGAUGAAUGCUGGGGAGUGACGUCACCCCGCCCCCUCCUCUGGUGUGUGUGUGUUUGUGUUGCCUCCUUCACCCACCACUCCUGCCUUCCCCUCCUUCAUCCAGCUCUCUGGCCCUUUCAGUGGGUCAGUGGUCCAGAUUCAGGGAUUCGCCAACAGGCGCAGCGGGCCCAGCUCUCCCCGCGUCCGGGCGCACCCACACUCACACUCACGCGCAGGCAACGCGCACACACAAUCCCCCAGCGCUGGAGCACAGCAAUUCCGUGGGAUCCCCAGCACGUUACGAGGAUUUUAGAAAUCACCCAGACAAGGAAACAAAGAGAGAAGCCUUUCCAAUUACUUUCCUGGGCUUUUUUGUUUAAUUUCCCCCACCAAACCACCUCGUCUGCAGCCGUAACUACCAGGUUCACGCCAGGUCCAAAGACUGGGUUGGGCUGGCCACCCCACCUCCCGGCCCUUGACUCUGUUCGGGCCCUUUCCCAGGCGUCGCCUCGCACCCCUCUCCCCCCACGAGCCUCAGUUUCUGGUUACCUCGCGUGCGCUUCACUUUUGGGGGGAAGAAGAGAAGAAGGGGAGGGAGGCACCGAGGGGGGCAGCCGAGUUGCUAUUUGUGGCCAAAGAAUCCGCUUUAAAAGAAGAGGCAGCAGGAAGGAGGAAACAGGAGAGGCGGAGGGAGGAGAGGAGACGCGGCCCCGGACCCCCCAGCCGCGAGCGGCGGAGCAUCGAGGAGCGGGAGGAGGAGGAAAAGGAGGAGGAGGAGGGAGAGGAGACAAACGGCGGCGGCGGCGGCGGCAGCGGCAGCGAGAGAAACGGGCGCCGGGCGAGCAGGAGGAGCGAGAGGAGGAGAAACCGCCGCGGAAGCCGCGGGCUCAGAAGGGCCAAGAGGACGGCCCGAGAAGAGGAGGAGGAGGCGGAGGAGGAGGAAAAGGGGGUAGGGGUGGAGGGAGGGCGGGGGGACGCGCUCCCUUGGAUGCUGGAUUUCGGGUUUUUGGACUCACUCGCUGA